GAGCAAUGGUGUAUAUAUGUAUAUAGAUUGAGAAAAGGGUAAAAUGGUCUUCUUAUCCUGAAAUAGCAGCAGCUAAUUGAGAUCAGCUCUAAUUUUACAACUUUUUGAAUUACAGUAGUUCAGGUUGUGUAUCAGCUAAGCAAUGGCUGUUCAAAACUUUUACCAAAUGGGUUUGGCGUAGCUAUAGGGUAUGAAACCUCCAUUAGCUACUCCAAACCUUUAAUCCAAACACUCCCUUACUAAAAAAUUAAUGAGCUAAUGAUUACAACUCAAUAUAUGCGUCUACAUGUGUGCAUGUGCAAUUUUGUAUGCAGCGGCAAUUUUGCAUGCAGUGGUAGUAUGUCUUUCCAUUUUGUUUGGUAACUUAGUAGUAUUGUUUAGAUAAAAUUUUUAUGUAUAGUUAUAUCACAGGAUAAAGGAUGGAAAUGGUGAA
rnacentral:misc_RNA from 1 species